rnacentral:lncRNA from 1 species
AAAUAAAAGAACCAAAGCAAGGGCAAAAUCGUCAGUGCACUGUGCUAUGAACAGUGUUUUAGGCUUUUUUCUCUUUUAGUAUAUAUAUAAUUUUGCAUCAAAACUAAUGAUUUGAUGUAAACAUUUCACAAACAAUAACAUGCAUGUGCCACACUUGUGCACGUAAUUUCCAUAUAAUUAAGAUUCAAUACUAAAAGAUGAAUGAGGAUCCUCUAUGUGAGAAUGCCAGAAAUUCUUUAAUUGUAUUCGUUUAUCGUACAUCAUGCGAUAAAAAAUCAUUGUAAAUUUUUUAUUUCAAAUUGAAUAUUAAUAGCAUCUGACAAAAACUGAUCGUACAAUAUGCAAUAAACAAACAUGAUUGAAAGAUCUCCGAGAUCCUCAAUAAUACUACUAGCUACUACUACCACAAAAUAAUAUUCCAUGAUGAUCAGAAAGCAGCCUCUUUAUCCUACGCAGAAAACACUUUUGACUGAGUGUCCAAUCUCCAUUAAUAAUGACAUGCAACUUUCACCAUUUUUAAUAUUAAGGUUUCCAUUUUUCGUUUUCAUGUUUUUUACUCGCCAAACCGGUCGGUUCUCUCCUUUCAGUCUGUUACAAUUUGUUCAUCUUUUUGUGUCGAUAAAUCCGCACAAUUAGGGCAACAGAAGCAAUAAAGUUUUGAGUUCGUUUGAUGUUUGGAUGCGUUACGUUUGACAAUUGAACUAAGAGAGAGAUUCAUCAGCAUGUGUUACUUGUGAAGGCAAACCAUGCAAAUGAUCUGAAGUUGUGAAUGACAAUGAAUGAUGUAUUGGAUUACUUGUGUUGUAAGCUAUUUGUUUAUGGAGUUGUUAACGACAUAAGUAAUUUGAUAGUCCUAGUGAAAUAAGGAUUAUGUAAUCUUAACCUUUGCAAUUGACCUCAAAGAAAUCUAAUAGGUUUCCCUACAAAUAUAGAAUCAUGGUAGGACUCAAUCACUUAAAUAAUAAAAUGGCUAAACACAAUCUCUGUCCUGCAAUUCACCACCAAUAAAUAAAUAUGUUUUCUUUUCAUACAUCUGACAAAAUAAAUAGGUUUCACUUCAAAGUUGCUACUACUACGCUUUAGGAUAUUUCUUACACUUGUAACCGACAAAUUUUAAUUUUGAAUUUGGUGAAUGUUGAGUUUGAUACUACCUUUGUAAGAUCCCACAUUGCUCAGGGAGUGGAUCCUGUAAACCUUAUAUGUAUAUUCUCAUCUCUACCUAGCACGACGUCUUUUGGAAAAUCACUGGCUUCGGGUUCCGUAGGAACUCCGAAGUUAAACAAGAAAGGGGCCAGAGCAUUCCCAGAGCAUUCCCAGGAUGUAUAUUCUCAUCAAACUUCCAGCAUAUAUAUGCUACUAAAACUUUAAAGUACGUAUUACGAAUCUCAGUACGCUCUAGGUGAGGUACCUUAAUUAUUGGAUAAUGAAAGAAAAAUUAUGAACGGCUGACUUUUGAUGAGCUUUAAUGAUUUAUCUUUUAGUACUUUUGAUUAUCUGAAAUCAAGUGUUAUAUAAAGCUUUAAUUCCUUGAAUAUCAUCUGCAUGCAAACUUUGGGUAAAUCCACUACGAACGCCAGGGGACAUGACGGCUCCUUCAACAGAGCUAUGUUGUAGCCCCAACAGAUGUCCGAUUUCAUGCAAGGCCACAGUCUCCAAGUCAUAAGCGUCCGCCACAGCUCCCACAGCCCACGCCUCAUCGGCAUCGUAGUGGAAUCUCUCAUUGGUCGGUGGAAAUGCGUGAGCAAGGAUCCCACCUCGGCCGUCAAAUGGGUUCCCAUCUCCAUGAUCACCCUUACCAAAACUUAUUGUCAGAUCCGCGUUCUUAUAGUUUUGGGAUUGACUGAACGAGAAGUGUGUGUCCUGCCAUGUUGCGAAAGCGCGCGCAACUGCGUCCCGGGCCUCAGUUGGGGUGCUUUGAUCAAAAGCAUAGGUGAGAUGAUGGUACUUAGAAGAAGGCCAUUUUGGGUUUCCGGUAAAAAGAAAUAAUGAGCAACUGUGUGAGGCGAACAUGUCCGCCGUUGGUGAGGUGCCUUUUCUUUCCGGAUCUCAUGGGAGGUUGUACUUGAUAUUAUCAGCGACACCUACAUCAGCGGCAUUAUCAAUACUGUUUUAGCAUCUAAGGUUCCGGUGGCCUUGAGGUGGCUAAUUGAUUGGUAGGUUUUGAUCGCCGACUCCAAGAUGUCGUCGAAGUCAUCACUAUCGGAAUGGCCGUUCAAGUAUCCAAAUUUUUCAAGGUACUUUUUUAGGUCUUGGAUGCCUUGGACCUUGUCACCCUUGUGACACCCCUUGAGAUGGUUAAGGAACUCGAACGGCGAAGGUUUCUGUUGCGGGUUUCUGCGAUGUUGCAUGGGAGGAACAAGAAAGAAGACGAGACGAGGGUGAUUGUGAAGAGGCAAAGAGUACUUUUUGAUGCCAUUGUGAAGAGGAAAAUAGUACUUUUAGAUGAUGCAAAAGCUUGGUAUUUGGAGGGGUAUUGAGACUGAGCAGCGUCUUCCAUAGUAAUUAGUAUGAUCAUGACUUUGAUUGUAACUAGAUAGGUCUUUGACGUUCGAGACGAUGGCCGGAAAGAAAAACAAAGUGAGUUUUAAAAUGUAGACGCAUUCAUAUAAGUUAGGUAUUAAACUAAUCAUUCUGAGAGAGUGAUUGGUGGAAGACUAAAGCAAGUUUAUGUACAAUGCAUAUUGAUCUUGAUCAUUUAAAAUUAAAAAAAAAUAAAUAAAACAUAUCAGCUGGGAGUAUAAAUACCACAGCGGGUAAUAGAGAAAGACCUAAAACCAAACAUGUGCCUCAAAGUUUAUUUUUAUUUUUUUGUAGUCGAUGUUAAUAUUCCAUAUAACUCCGCCUGUGUAAGUUUAUCUUAUAUUGCCGGUCCCAAGCCCGGGUAAAUGAGGAGGGGGAGGGCGUCAGGUAGUCGACAGCCAGCACUCCUCAGUUACGUCGAAUCCUUAUGAAAAUGAAUCCAGAACGAAAUCGCGCUAAAGCUAGGGCGUCACCCAUAAGUGACGCGCUGUGUGGCCCGAGCACAGUGAUAAGUGAGCAAGGGUCGCUGUAUCUCCAUCGGCACCCGGAUGCAGUGUUAAAUGAGCAAGGGGGCCAUAGAAACUUAUUUUCGAACGACUCCACUCAAAGUUGUUUGGGAGCAUAUGCUCCUAUCAACUUUACACAGGACACACAAAAGAAGUACUUUGAUCCUAUUGGACGGAGGAGGGUGAAGAAGCUAGGACAGAAGGGUAGAGUUCAAGAGAGUAGAAUGCGUUUAGAACGUGGAAUAUUAGGAACCUUAACGGGAAAAUCUAUGGAAGUAGUGGAAGUUAUGGUGAGGAGAAGGAUAAAUAUUAUGUGCCUACAAGAAACUAAGUGGGUUGGUCUUAAGGCAAAUGAUCUAGAAAACUCAGGGUUUUAAACUUUUGGUAUUCGGGCACAAGUAGAACGAGAACGGUGUUGGCAUUAUCGUGGACAAGACCUUGACACAAGAUGUUUGUAGAUGUCAAGAGGGUAGGAGAUAGAAUCAUGGUAAUCAAUAUUGUAAUAGGACAAGAACUCAUCAAUGUGAUUUAGUGCGUACGCACCUCAAGUAGGGUUGGAUACGAGUCGAAGGAGAAAUUUUGGGAAGACCUUGGAGACUUGGUGCAAGGAUUGCUCAGACGGAGAAGUUAUUUAUAGGAGGAGAUUUAAAUGGACACGUGGGCAGGGAGACAGGCAACUAUGGAGGUUUUCAUGGUGGCAUGGUUUUGGGGAGAGAAACGAGGAUGGGGAAGCUAUCUUGGAUUUGCAAUGGCAUAUGAUCUCUUCUUAGCCAACACUUUCUUUAAGAAAAGAGAAGAACAUUGAUCACCUACAAGAGUGGGUCGUCAAAAAACACAAAUAGAUUUUCUUCUAAUGAGGAAAGGGGAUCGUAUAACUUGUAAGGAUUUGCAAAGUUAUACCGGAGAGAGCUUGGCUAAUCAACAUCGCUUGUUGGUGAUGGAUGUACAUAUCAAAAAGAGUGAGAAAAAAGAACAAGACUUGGAAGUGCCCAAGGACUAGAUGGUGGAAUUAAAAUGAGAAAAAACAAGCCAUUUUCAAAGAGAAAGUAAUCACCCAGUGUGUGUGGGAUAGAGAGGGGGAAGCUAGCCAAAGGUGGGAUUCAUGGCUAGUUGUAUCGAAAAAGCAAAAGAGGUAUAGGAGAGUCCAAGGCUUUGCUCCAUACCAAAAGGAAUCUUGGUGGUGGAAUGAAGAGGUACAAACAAAGGUGAAGGCUAAGAAGGAAUGUUGUAAAGCCUUAUACAAGGACAGGACCGAUGAAAAUGGUGAAAGGUAUAGAAGAGCGAAGUAAAAGGCGAAGAAAGCUGUGAAAGAAGCUAAGUUAGCGGCUUAUGACGAUAUGUACAAGCAACUAGAUACCAAAGAAGGAGAGUUUGAUAUCUAUAAACUAGCUAGAGCAAGGGAAAAUAAGACAAGGGAUCUAAACCAAGUGAGGUGCAUCAAGGAUGAGGAUAGAAAGAUUCUUGCUACAGAGAACGCGGUCAAAGACAGAUGGAGAGGUUUAUUUCAUAAUCUUUUCAAUGAAGGACAUGAAAUGAGUACUUCUUUAGGGGAGUUGAGUAACUCAGAAGAGUGUAGAAACUACUCAUUUUAUCGUCGAAUUAGGAAGGAAUAAGUGGUUGGAGCUUUGAAGAAGAUGAAGUAUAGAAAAGCAGUGGGCCCAGACGAUAUACCGAUCGAAGUGUGGAAAGUCUUGGGAGAGACAGUAUAGCAUGGCUCCUGACCUUUUCAAUAGAUUUUGAAAAUGAAAGAAGAUGCCAAUGAGUGGCGAAAGAGCAACUUUGGUGCCUAUUCUACAAGAAUAAGGUGCGUACAAAAUUGCAUGAACUAUAGAGGUAUUAAGCUAAUGGUCAUACAUGAAGCUCUGGGAGAGUCAUGGCAUAGAUUGAGGCAAGAGGACACGGGUUUCGGACAACCAAUUCGGGUUCAUGCCAGGGCGCUCAACCAUGGAGGUAAUCUAUCUCUUACGAAUAUUGAUGGAAAGAUAUAGAGAUGGGAAAAGGAUUUACACAUGGUCUUUAUAGAUUUGGAAAAAGCGUAUAUAGGGUCCCAAGAGACAUUCUUUGGAGGAUUUUAGAGGAAAAAAGAGUACGAGUAGCAUAUAUCCAAGCUAUAAAGGAUAUGUAUGAAGGAGCAAAGACUGUCGUAAGAACUCAUGAAGGACAAACCGAAAACUUCCCCAUAAUGGUAGGAUUGCAUCAAGGCUCAUCCUUAAGUCCUUACCUUUUUGCGUUGGUAAUGGAUGAGUUAAUAGGACAUAUUCAAGAUGAUAUUCCUUGGUGUAUGCUUUUCGCAGACGAUAUAGUGUUGAUAGAUGAAACUCAGGAAGGGGUAAAUGCGAAGCUUAACCUUUGGAGAGAAGUGUUGGAAUCUAAAGGUCUUUGCCUAAGCCGAUCAAAGACAGAAUAUAUGGAGUGCAAGUUCAGUGCAAAUGGAGGCCAAAAUGAGUUAGGGGUGAGGAUCGGAGAUCAGGAAAUACCAAAGAGCGACCGUUUUCGCUACUUAGGAUCUAUCUUGCAAAAGAAUUGAGAAUUAGAUAGAGAUCUCAACCAUAGAAUACAAGCUGGAUGGAUGAAGUGGAAGAGUGCAUCCGGCGUGUUGUGUGACCAUCGUAUGCCACUGAAGCUCAAGGGAAAAUUUUAUAGGACGGCAAUAAGGUCGGCGAUGCUGUAUGGCACAGAAUGUUGGGCGGUGAAGCAUCAACAUGUACACAAAAUGGGGUGUAGCGGAGAUGAGGAUGCUUCGUUGGAUGUGUGGGCACACGAGAAAUGAUAAGAUUAGGAAUGAGGAUAUCCGAGGUAAAGUAGGAGUAGCCGAAAUUGUAGGAAAGCUGAGAGAAAAUCAGUUACGGUGGUUUGGACAUGUGCAAAGAAGGCCUACUGACGCUCCGGUUAGAAGAUGCGACUACGGGACAGAGGUUCAAGGCCGAAGGGGUAGAGGAAGACCUAGGAAAACUUUGGAAGAGACUCUAAGAAAAGACUUAGAGUACUUGGAUCUAACGGAGGACAUGACACAGGACCGAGCACAAUGACGAUCUGAGAUUCAUAUAACCGACCCCACUCAGUGAAGAAAGCUUUGGUAUUUAACACAAUACGUUGAAAUGAAGCAAAGCUUAUUUAUUGAUAUCUCCGAUAAGUUACAAAUAUGUACAUAUACAUGAGUCAAAAUAAACAAACAAGAGGGAGCCUUCACAAAUGUUACUUAGGAGAAGUCUCAGCAAUCGGUAGAGCCCCAGAAAGAGAAGGCAUCGGAAGGGGAUCAUUCGGAGCCUCAGUACUAGACAGAACCCUAGAAGGAUGAGGCAUCAGAGGUUGAUCAUUUGGAGCUUCAUUACGCGGUACAGCCCCAGAAGACGAAGGUAAUAAAUGUCUUUGGAACAAACCCACAAACCGUAGAUGAUCAAGUAAAACCUGACCAUCAGAUUCCUUCAUCUGGUCAAGCUUCAUCUUCAUGUUUGUAGCAUAGUCAUGUGCGAGCCGGUGCAACUGUUUAUUCUCAUGCUUGAGCCCUCUAAUCUCCUGUUUGAGACUUAUCACUUCAGCCGCCAAUGAUUCAACUUGGCGGGUUCGAGCAAAUAGGCGUUGGGCCAUAUUAGACACAGAACCUGCACACUGAACACUCAGAGCCAGAGAAUCCUUAACAGCCAACUCAUCAGACCGUUUGGAAAGUAGUCUGUUAUCUUUGGGAGUGAGAAAGUUCAUGGCCACCACCGCAGCGAUCAUAUCAUUCUUCAUCACAGAAUCCCCAAUGGUAAGAGGACCAGUAGGGGAUAAGAAUGAUGGGCGCCAUAUGUUGUCUAGAGAAGGCGUGGCUGCCUCUUCAACAAGGUUCAAGUCAAAACGACGGUCGGAGGGGCCAGACAUUUUCAAAGGUGUUGAAGAGAGAAAAGGUCGGAAAAAAUCAAUAUCUUAGAAGUGCAAGAAUGGAACUUCUACUGGUGGAGAUUCAAAUGUUCUUUGGAACUUAAUGCUAGCCUCUAUAAAAAUCUACACUCGACGGAGCUUCAAAAAUCGAAGAAGCGCCUGCCCAGAAAUCGAAGAGGCGUUUGCUUUCUCAAAAGCUGGGCUGCUAAAAAACCACGAGGGCCGAUCUCAGAAAUCGAAGAGGCGUUUGCUUUCUCAAAAGCUGGGCUGCAAAGACCACGAAGGCUGAUCUCAAAAAUCGAAAAGGCGCUUGCUUUCUCAAAAGUUGGGCUACUCAGAUACCACAAGGGCCGAUCUCAGAAAUCGAAGAGGCACCUGCUAUUUUCAGCCUUGUCAUCACCUGUCACAUACACACUCAGCUUUGCUGAAAUUACGGGCAUUUUGUUGAAGUAGAAAGCACGUGAAUCUUACUGUUCAAUCAUCCACUUUCCACACGCACCAUCAGCUCAUGGGUACCACAGAUAACUUUGCCAAAGAUCUCUGACAAAGUUUAGACACGUGAAGCUUGCAGCUCCCACUACAUCGCUAUGACCAAGAAGGGUAAAAGAAUAGCAAAGAAACAGCAUUAACAAAGUUUAGACACAUAAAUUUUAAAGGUCUAGCUACCAUAUUAUUACCCACAAGGGUAAAGGAACAGCACCACUGCUAGAUAAUUGGAAAGUCCUUGUGAGUCAACCUCUGUGCUCUGUGGCAAAGUAGACUAGCAAACAUGCCCAACCUUUACUCACAUUCAAGAAAACACUCCCAACAAGAUUGCUUGCUCCAAAAUCGAAGAGGCACCGCCCUCCGAAUCUCGAGAGCCAGACUCCCAACAUGAUUACUUUCUCAAAAAUCGAAGAGACACCGCUAUCUGAAUCUCGAGAGCCAGACUCCCAGCAGGAUUGCUUUCUUAAAAAUCGAAGAGGCACCGUUCUUCGAAUCUCGAGAGUCAGAUCCUCGACAGGAUUGCUUGUUCGAAAACCGAAGAGGCACUGCUUUCUCAACUUCGAGAGCCAGAUCUCCUUGGAUAAAGCUUGUCUGUAAUCUUCACACGCAACAUCAGCUUUCCAGAUACCACAGACCACUUUUUCAAAGUGCUCUGACACACGUGAAGCUGGCAGCUCCCACUACCGUGCUAUGACCAAGCAGGGUAAAGGAAUAGCAUUACUACUUGUUGUUAGGGAGACUCCUAUAUAUGUCGACCUCCAUCCUCAACGGAUAGGCAGACCUGCAAAAAUACUCAACCCUUCCUCAUAUCUGAGAGGGCACUCCCAACGAAGCCUCUCGAAAUACUCAGCUUUCAUUCCCCCUGAUAAUACCUUUGCAAACAAGCUACACCAGAGCAAGAAUAUCUCAUAUCAUCAGGGUUAAAAACAAGAGUAUCCCAUAUCAUACUUUUUCCUUAUCUUUUCCUUUGACCUUGUUUUUACCUGCAAGACAAGGAGAAAGAUAACAAUCAGUCAGCACUUGGAAUCAAGCUUCCAGUCAGGAACUGACUGCCUGGAACCCCUUACCUGAUUACUUACCUGGCAUUGCUCUCGAGUACUCAUCUUCAACAUCUUAUGCUUCCAGAUAAGAUACCACAUCUGCCUGAGGAACAGAUAGGGAAAGUGAGAAGGAUACAAGGAAGCAUGUGGAGACAAGCGUAACAGAACACGUGCCGAUACAUCCACUACUUUGUCAACAGCAAAAGUAUCCCAUAUAAGCAGGGUCGAAUGUACUCUAGGUUUGAUGGACUUGUUUUGACCCCGCAAAUUCUUCAGUCGGCCUUAUACUCUGGAGGAAACCAGAAAACCCUCCAGCCCAGUUCAAGAAUAAGCCUGUGGAAAGUUACUUCUUCAAAAGCAAAAGUAUCUCAUAUCAUAUAUUCUCUUUUUUCUUCUCUUUAUCCUUCAUGCUGCCUGCAAGAUAGGGAGAAUGAGAACAAUCAGCCGAAACUCGAAAUUAAACUUCUGAUCUGGGACUGAUUGCUUAGAGCUCUGAUUGCUUACCUUGUCUGUCACCUCUUUCAGCAGAUCCCCUAGCUCGACGACUUGGGGGACUCCUACUACAUGGUUUGUAUUGUGCUUGACCAAGCAUGAAACUACAAGUAAGCUUCAAGUGAAAUUGAUACAUUACCUUGUGCAUCUCCACCAGUUAACGAUACCACCCCUGGAUGGAGGAAGAGUACUUCCAGAGAAGAUGUCACAUCUACCUAUGAGACAGAUAAGGCAAGUGAAGACGAUACCACACUUUGGUACUUAGAAGUUUCGUGAUUACGAGAUCAUUCUCCCACACUAUUUCCUAAUGUCAUUUGUACUAAAUCAUUCACUUGUACUCACUAAAGGAGAGCUUGAACCUAUGUAUUGUGUAAACCCUUCACAAUUAAUGAGAACUCCUCUACUCCGUGGACGUAGCCAAUCUGGGUGAACCACGUACAUCUUGUGUUUGCUUUCCUGUCUCUAUCCAUUUACAUACUUAACCACACUAAUGACCAGAGCAAUCUAGCAAAGAUCACAAACUUAUUACUUUCUGUUGUACCAAAGUCCUCACUGAUUUUGUGCAUCAACAAUCCUUAAGUCCUUACCUUUUUGCGUUGGUAAUGGAUGAGUUAACAGGACAUAUUCAAGAUGAUAUUCCUUGGUGUAUGCUUUUAGCAAACGAUAUAGUGUUGAUAGAUGAAACUCAUGAGGGGUAAAUGCGAAGCUUAACCUUUGGAGAGAAGUGUUGGAAUCUAAAGGUCUUUGCCUAAGCCGAUCAAAGACAGAAUAUAUGGAGUGUAAGUUCAGUGCAAAUGGAGGCCAAAAUGAGUUUGGGGUGAGGAUCGGAGAUCAGGAAAUACCAAAAAGCGACCGUUUUCGCUACUUAGAAUCUAUCUUGCAAAAGAACGGAGAAUUAGAUGGAGAUCUCAACCAUAGAAUACAAGCUAGAUGGAUGAAGUGGAAGAGUGCAUCCGGCAUGUUGUAUGACCGUCGUAGGCCACUGAAGCUCAAGGGAAAAUUUUAUAGGAUGAUAAUAAGGUCAGCGAUGCUGUAUGGCACAAAAUGUUGGGCGGUGAAGCAUCAACACGUACACAAAAUGGGUUUGGACAUGUGCAAAGAAGGCCUCAUGACGCUCUGGUUCGAAGAUCUGACUACGUGAUAGAGGUUCAAGGCCGAAGGGGUAGAGGAAGACCUAGGAAAACUUGGGAAGAGACCCUAAGAAAAGACUUAGAGUACUUGGAUCUAAUGGAGGACAUGACACAAAACCGAGCGCAAUGGCGUUCUAGGAUUCAUAUAGCCGACCCCACUUAGUGGGAAAAGGCUUUGUUGUUGUUGUUGAUGUUAAUGUUCCAUAUGUAUAUCAAAAAUGAGACAUUAUAUUUUUGUGGUGGCAUUUUAAACACAUCUAAUGCGUCUAUCACUUUCUCAAUUGGAGAAUAGAGAUGAUUUAGAGCGCACAAAUUAGUCUUUUUAGGGUUCUUGGUAAAGUUAAAACAUCGUUUUGGGCACAUUGCUUACAAAUUCAUGUGUUUUUUUUCUUUUGACAAAUCCAUGCACUUUGAGGGGUAUGCUCACAGACCCGUCUUUGACGGGAGCACCUGAUUUCGCUGGGUCCAAAUUUUUUGUUUUUACUUAAUAGAUACUAGCAUUUGCUUACACAUUUUUUUGGAAAAUGAGAAGGAGAGAGGGAGAGAGAGAAUGUGGGGAAGUGGGAGGUGUUUUCGGUUUUUUUUUUUUUUAAAUAUUGGAGGUAUUUUAAUAUCACAUGUAGGUGAGGUUUCAAUAAAAAACAGUAAAAUUUGGAUCUGUGAAAGUACAUUAUUGCCCACCAUUUUUUUUUUUGUGAUAGAAGACUAAGUUGUCUUUUCAUCCUCUUUUGAUUGACAAAGAGAUUUUAAUUAAUUAGUAGAGAUAUGAUAUUUAAUAUUUAAUAAAUGUAGAAAUAAUGACAAAGCAAUGUUUUUUUUUAAAACACUUAAGCUUUUUCCCCCAAGGUUCGUGUUUCAAAUCCCGUGUGUGAUAUUCUUUUAUGAAUUGUUUUUAAUUCAAUUUUUCUAUUUUGAAAAAAAGGAUCAUACCAUGUACAUUUAAGAGGGGCCGUGCAAUUUAAGAACCUGCUUUGCCGUCUUUAUUUUUUUUAAUCAAGACAAACUAAAACUACCCCUAACAACAAAAAGAAACGUAUUUCAAGUGUAUAGCAAGUAUGAACCAUAGCCUUCACCAUCAUUCCUCUGCAAAUCCUUUUAUCUCACUUCCUCUCUGUCUGUUUCUUUUUCAAAUUUCUAAGUAUCUUUAUACAGGUGAAGGGGUGAAUCAAAAUAUAUCAUUAGGUUUAGAAGAUUGCAACUCAAGGAAAGCCUAUAGAAGACUAUGAAUAUAAUCUUUUUUUUGUUUUAGUCUAGAUGUUCAUGAUAGAUGACAUGAUAAUAUAUUUAAGAAUUCAAAAAAGACAACUUACAUGGCCUUAGGCAAGCCAUUGUUGAGCGUCCGCAGUGAGGGGCUCUAUAUAAGGCUAGAAAAGUGGUGGAUAUAACUAAUUUUUGAGCUCCAAGGAAUCUUUGGGGUUUUAUAAAAGAAUCUCUUCUAAUGAGGAGCUAUAUCUUUCGGGCUCUAUAUAGGGCUAUAUAUAUUUAUUUAUGUAGUAAUUUGAUUAAGCGAUAAUUUAUUUUUGUGUGUUAGUUUUUCUUAAGUUGAUUUUUAGACGUGUUAUCUUAAUUUUUUUUUAUAUGAACCUUUCAACCUAAAAAGUUCAAAUUGUGACAAUGUUAGAUUUCAUCACUUAUCAAUCGUUUGUUGGAUUAGAUUCCCCUAUCUCAAUCUCAUCCGUUGAAAGAAGCAAACCCCCACUUUGCCCUCUGAAUAAUUUGACUUUCAUGUAUAACACAACAAUUUACCUAGCACCAAUUGAUAAAUUAGUAUCAUACAAUUUUAAAAAAAAAUUAUUUGAAAAUUUCACUCAUCAAUGCCCAUGAACGUUAAAUCAAUUUGAAAUUUUAAUUCUUAUGGAAUUUAAAACAAUCAUUAAUUAGCCAAAUUGCAAGAAAAAUAACUAAGAAAAAAGAAUUAAAAAUAAUAAAAGGAGAAUAUAAGUGUAUUCGUAGGUAGAGGGAGAGUGAUAGAAUUUUGCUCACAUGGAUUGCUACUUUUUUGUGGGCCCUUCAAUCUUCAAUGCAUAACAAUCAUAGAAUUUGUCUUUUGUGAAUGCUUGAAUAUCAUAUCAUCACUUAUGAACAUAUAAACUGGAACAAAAUAAUAAUAAUAAUAAUAACACCCAACAAAAUAUAUCCACAACCAUAAAAUAUAAAUUCAUAGUUUACCAAAUUAAAAAAAGAUUAAACUCAUAGAUUCCAUAUGCUUACAUUAUUUGCAAUCCUCUAAACCUAGUUAUAUAUUUUGAUUCGCCCCUUCAAUUGUAUAGAGAGGCUUAGGAUUUGAAAAAGAAAGAGACGAAGAGGAAGAAAGAAUAAAAGAAUUGCAGAGGAAUGAUGGUGAAGGCUAGGGUUCAUGCUUGCUAUGUAAAAAAAACAAGCCAAAGACAAUUACACGUAAAAUAUAUUCCUUUUUGUUGUUAGGGAUUAGUUUUAGUUUAUCUUGAUUUAAAAAAUGGGAACUUUAACGAAAAGCACCCGGUACUGUUCACUUUAAAGAAAAACCACAUUUUUACACUAAAAAGUCAAUCCUGGUACUAUUCACUUUACCCUUUAUUUUGUCCUUAUCAUUAAAACUCAAAGUUUUCAAGCUUUUUCAUUAGUUUUCCUUAAAAAAAAUCAGGCCGGCAAAGUAGAGUGCACAUUGGAGUAGGGGUGGAAAAAAUUCCCAAAAAUCUCGAACCAAACCGAAAAAAUCCCGAUCCCAAACCAAAAAUUUCCCAAACCGAAAUUCCCGAAAAUUUUGGGAUGCUAUCCAGAACCGAUCCCGAAAUUUGGGUACGGGAUUCAGGAUUGGCUUCUCGAUAUUUCGGGAAUCCCAUACCGAACCAAAAAUGUAUAAUAUUAAUUAUUAUUAUAUAUAUAUAUUUCUACAUAUAUAUUAUAUAUAUUAUUCUUUUAUAAUUGAUGCUAGUAGUUUCUAAUUCAUGCUCUGCAACCUGGAAUGCCCUACACCUUGCAUAUUUUUCAUGUUCUGUUUAAUAUUCAUUUGGAUUUUAUUAUUGCUGCUACCAUGGUUGAUGAUUUCAGAAUGCUUGAUUCUUUUGUCUCUUAAUAGAUUGCAAAAAGGGUUUAAUUAAUUUGAAUUUUGACUUUGAUAAAAAUAGUCAGGCAUGCCAGUGUUCGAUUAAAUGGUAGUGUGAAUGAAAUGACAUUCCUAGUUCUUGAAUUAUAUAUUUGAAGAACAAUUCAUAAUUUAAAAUUUAAAUUUGGGAUUCCCGAUUUGUCUCGAAAUCCCAAAAAUAUUUUGGGAUUCCCGAAAUUUGGGAUUCCCGAAAAUUUGGUUUGGGAAUGGUCUUCAAAUUCCCGUCCCGAAAAUUUUCGAUUUGGAAUUCGGGAUACUAGUUUCGGUAUGGUAUCCCAUACCGAACCACCCCUACACAGGAGUCAUAUGGACCAUUUUUCAAAACAGAAAAAUCAAAUUAAAAACAAUACAUAAAAACAGAGCGAUUCGCAAGUGAUUUCUAGGAUGUUACGUACCCAUUUUUUUUUAAUGGUAUUUCAUUGUGUCUCCACUAUACAACAUUUGAAACAUACUUAGGUUAGAAAACCUUAAUUUUGACGCAUAUGUGGAAUUUUUGGGUUAGGUCUUUGUUUCUAGUUAACUUUAAUUUAUUAUUCCGACAGUUUCUCUCUUUGGCUGGCUGGUUUUAUACGUAUAUUCUGGAGUCUGCACCAAGAAUUAGUCUACUAAUUUUGUUCCCGAUUUAUUUAUUUAUUUCUUCUUCUGGACCAUCAUCUCGAACCUUGCAAGACUUAGCCAUGCAUAGUCAAGGUCAUGAUCAUAUUACUAUUGAAGACCCAGCUCAAUCUCAAUUUGUGCAAUAAUUUAUCUCGCUAUUAGACCUAUAAAUAGCCCUCCAAAUACAAAGCUUUUGCAAUAUAUCCACAAUCUGCUUAAUCAUAAGUGCUUAAGUAGUUUACAAUGGCUUCAAAAUGUACUCUUUCUCUGUUCACAAUCACUUUUCUCUUUGUCCUCCUUUCUCUCUUCUCCCAUGCAACGUCGUCAGAAACCCACAACAAAAACACGUCGCCAUUCGAGUUUCUCAACCAUCUUAAGGGGUGUCACAAGGGCGACAAGGUCCAAGGCAUCCAAGACCUAAAGAAGUACCUUGAAAAAUUUGGAUACUUAAACGGCCAUUCCGAUAAUGAUGAUUUCGACGACAUCUUGGAGUCAGCGAUCAAAACUUACCAGCUCAACUACCACCUCAAAGCCACCGGAACAUUAGAUGCCAAAACCGUAUCAAAAAUGAUGAUGCCGCGAUGCGGUGUGCCAGACAUCAUCAAUGGCACCACCUCCAUGCGAUCGGGAAAGAAAAGACACCCUCACCACCACAGCGGACAUGGUUCGCCUCACACAGUUGCUCAUUAUUCUUUCUUCCCUGGAAACCCUAAAUGGCCUUCUUCUAAGUACCAUCUCACCUAUGCUUUUGAUCAAACCACCCCAACUGAGGCCCGGGACGCAGUUGCGCGCGCUUUUGCUGUUGAAUUAUAAGUCUCUAGCUGAUUAAGUAUUAGAAAUAAGAUGAGUUUUAAUGUGUGUAUUCAUUUGAGCAUAUAUGCCAAGUGUAAGGUUAAAUGAUGUAAGGCCAUGAGUGCCAUGUGGUGUUUGAUCCAUGUAAUUAGGUUGAUGAGUGACUAAGAUUAAAAGUAGUGUUUAGUGUGGUCCUAAAGCUAAGGCCAUCAGUUAAAUGUAAAGCAGUGUGAGUGCUCAUUUCUCUGUGUAGUACAAAAUAUUCCUCUGCAAUAUUUUUGCAGUAGAGAACAAGAAAGAAAAAAAAAAACUAUUUUUCGGUUCAUCUUCCAUCUUUGCUUUUGCUUCUGUUCAGUAUUCUAAAAAAAAAAUCCAGCUAAAUUAGAGUAACACUAACAUGGCCUCAGAGCCUUGUUUCGAUUAGAUCUGGGCGUGUUUCUGUGAGCUCAAACGUCACCGUCUCUGGACUUGGUGAAGUUUGCCGGAGCUUAUCUGUGAUCUAAGAACUACGUGUUUCUGGGUUCACACAAGCUCACGAUGGCUGGACCUGGGAGUGCUGAAGUGAGGACCCCGAUCUUUCUCCGGUGAGAACUACGAGUUCUGGAGAAUCAAAAUGGUUACCAUUUUCAAGUCGUAUGGACUGUGGAAUCUGGUGGAAAAAGGGAUUCCGGUUCCUGAUUCGAAGAAGAAGGAAGCUAAGACUGAUGAACAUACAGAGGUUGAUGUUGACGAUGAUGAGAAAAUGGCUGCAAUCUUCAUGAAAGAUGCAAAAGCUCUCGGAAUCAUUCAAAGCGCAGUCUCCGAUCAGAUUUUCCCUCGAAUCGCAAACGCAGACUCAGCAAAAAUGGCAUGGGAUCUGUUAUAUGGCGAAUAUCACGGUGGGGAUCAGGUAAGAUCUGUGAAACUCCAGAAUCUUAGACGAGAAUUUGAAUACACUAGAAUGCGUGAUGAUGAAUCUUUGACUGGGUAUCUUACUCGUUUAAAUGAUCUGAUUAAUCAAAUGAAGACGUUUGGUGAAACUAUGUCAAAUGAGAGAUUAGUUCAGAAGGUGUUAAUCAGUCUCACUAAGAUAUAUGAUCCUAUAUGCUUAGUGAUAGAAAACACUAAAUGUUUAGAAUCUGUUGAACUGCAAGAGGUAUUAGCUAUAUUGAAGAGUCAAGAGCAGAGGUUUGAUUUGCAUUCCUCAGAUGCAACUGAGAGAGCAUUUUCUUCUCUUACUGUUAGUUCAAAAGGGCAGAAUCGAAGUUAUGCUCAGUCUAGUACCUUUAAACCACAGAGAAAUUGGAAUCAAAAGGGCAAGAAAUGGGAGUCAAAACCAAAGUUUCAGCAAAAAUCAUACACACAAGUGUUGCACAGAAUAGUACUUCCUCACAGGGUAUGGGUCAAGAGAGUGUAAAACCUCAAUGUAAGGUGUGUUCAAAGUUUCAUUAUGGUGAAUGUAGGUAUAAGGGGAAAUCUAAGUGCUAUAACUGUGACAGAUUUGGGCACUGGGCAAAAGAAUGUACUGUUGGAAAGUCUGUUCAAAAGGCAAACUGUGCCAGUCAAAUGGAAGUAACAGGGAACUUGUUUUAUGCAAAUUGUGCAGUUGCUGAGACUAAGGUUAAUGGAGAUUGGUACAUAGAUAGCGGCUGCAGUAAUCAUAUGACAGGAAAUGUUGAUCUUCUUGUUGAUGUGAAUACGAAUGUUGCAGGGAAGGUUCAAAUGCCAACAGGAGGAUUAGUUAAUGUGGCAGGAAUUGGAUCACUGGAAAUUGAGACUAACAGAGGAAGAAAAUACAUUCGAGAAGUCAUGUACCUACCUGGCUUGAAAGAGAAUCUACUUAGUGUAGGACAAAUGGAUGAGCACGGAUACUAUCUUGUGUUUGGUGGAGGUAUGUGUACUGUCUUUGAUGGCCCUUCUCUGGAAUGUCAAAUUAUCAGUGUAAAGAUGAGAGGAAACAGAUGCUAUCCUCUAUCUCUAAGUUCUGAAAAGCAACUUGUGUUGAAGCUCAGUUUUGCUAACUGUGCCCGGACUUGGCACAGAAGACUUGGCCACCUAAACUUUGGUGGAAUCAAAAAAUUGAAGGAGAAAGAUAUGGUUCAUGGAUUACCAGAUCUAGAAGAGAAUGAUAGAGUCUGUGAAGGUUGUCAAUAUGGUAAACAGCACAGAGAAAGUUUCCCUAGUGGUCAAACACAAAGAGCUGGUGCUUCACUCGAAUUGAUCCAUGUUGAUCUAUGUGGACCAAUGAGAAAUGAAUCCACUGGAGGAAACAAAUACUUUAUGCUGCUUGUGGAUGAUGCAACACGAAUGAUCUGGGUAUACUUUCUUAAAUAUAAAUCUGAGGCCUUCUCCUGCUUUCAAGAAAUUCAAAGCAAUGACUGAGUUACAAACUGGUUUAAGGGUGAAAUGUCUGAGGAGUGACAGAGGAGGGGAGUUCUUGUCUACUGAGUUCAAUCAGUUCUGUGAUACAGAAGGCAUUCAAAGGCAACUUUCUCUUGCAUACACUCCACAGCAAAAUGGAGUGGUGGAAAGGAAAAACAGAACCGUGGUUGAAAUGGCUAAGUCUAUGCUACACGAUAAAGGAAUGCCCUAUUAUAUGUGGGCAGAAGCUGUGCAUACUGCUGUGUACAUUCUGAAUCGAUGUCCUACCAGGUCUCUUGAUAACAUAACCCCCUUUGAAGCUUACAGUGGAAGGAAACCGGGUAUUGCACAUUUGAAGAUUUUUGGCUCAGUUUGUUAUGUUCAUAUCCCAGCUGAAUUAAGGCACAAAUUAGAAGCUAAGAGUCUAAAGGGAGUUUUUAUUGGCUAUGCAAGGUGUGAGAAAGGUUAUAGGGUCUUUGAUCCAUUUUCUAAAAGGGUAAUACUGUCAAGAGACGUUGUGUUUGAUGAAGAUUCAAGUUGGAAUUGGCAGGAAAGCACAGAGAAACAUGUGUCUAUGUUCAAUUAUGAAGGGCAGUCUGGUGAGUCACCAAGCAGUGCAUUCACAGAGGUUGAGACCCCAACCUCUAAUACUUUGCCAUCUAGAAGUUUGACAGAAAUAACAAGUGAUACUGAUAAUGCACCGGUUACUCCUCAAGUCCAAUCUACUGAAUCCUCUAGUAGAUCUUGUGAAAGUACAAGAGAUUCACAAGUGAUUGAUCAUACUCCAUUAAAAUGGAGAAGGCUGGAUGAUGUACUUGCUAAAUGUAAUCUGUGCAUUAUGGAACCAGAGAGAUAUGAAGAUGCAAGUAAGGAUGAAUCUUGGAUGAAUGCUAUGAAGGAUGAGCUUUCAAUGAUUGAAAAAAAUGCAACCUGGGAGUUAGUGGACAGGCCAAGUAACAAGCCUAUAAUUGGAGUAAAAUGGGUGUUUAAAACCAAGCUCAACUUGGAUGGAACUGUGCAAAAGAACAAGGCAAGGCUUGUUGCAAAGGGAUAUGCCCAGAAACCAGGAAUAGAUUACAACGAGACCUUUGCUCCUGUUGCCCGUUUAGAUACAAUCAGAACUCUUAUAGCAUUGGCUGCACAAAAGUGUUGGAAACUCUAUCAACUUGAUGUCAAAUCGGCUUUUCUGAAUGGUGUUCUAGAGGAGGAGGUUUAUGUGGAGCAGCCUGAUGGUUUUGUAGCUAAAGGGGAGGAAGACAGGGUAUACAAACUUCACAAAGCCUUGUAUGGUCUAAAACAGGCACCACGGGCCUGGUAUGGAGAAAUAGAUACCUAUUUCUCACAAUGUGGUUUCACAAGAAGCUUAAGUGAACCAACACUGUACAUCAAGACAGAAGAGGAAGGCAUUUUGAUUGUGUCGAUCUAUGUGGAUGACAUAAUCUAUACUGGGAGCAACAAACAAAUGCUUGAAGAAUUCAAGGAAGACAUGAAACGAAAGUAUGAGAUGACUGAUUUGGGCCUUCUCUACAUCAUUUUCUUGAAAUGGGAAUAAUUCAGACCACUUCAAGCAUUUUCAUCCACCAAAAGAAAUAUGCAAGCUCUUUGUUAGACAAAUUUGGUCUAAAAGAGUGCAAACCUGUGCUUACUCCAUUAGUUGCAACUGAGAAGUUAACCACGAAUGAUGGAAGUGGUGCUGCAAGUGAAGAGUUAUACAGAAGUUUUGUGGGAAGUCUCUUAUAUCUCACUGCAACCAGGCCUGAUAUUAUGUAUGCAUCCAGUCUGUUAGCCAGAUUUAUGCACUGCCCUACCAGUAAGCAUGUUGGAACUGCUAAAAGAGUGCUAAGAUACAUUAAGGGUACACUUGAUUAUGGUCUGGAAUAUGUGAAGGGUAAGAACUCAAUGUUAAUUGGGUUCUGUGACAGUGACUGGAGUGGAUCAAUUGAGGACAGUAAAAGUACUUCUGGUUAUGCUUUCUCCUUUGGCAGUGGAGUAUUCUCUUGGGCAUCUGUGAAGCAAAAUUGCGUUGCUCUUUCCACUGCAGAAGCAGAGUACAUCAGUGCUUCAGAAGCAACUACUCAAGCCAUUUGGUUGAGAUUUGUGCUUGAAGACUUUGGUGAAUUUCAAACCGAAGCCACUCCAGUGCACUGUGACAACACCUCAGCAAUUGCAAUCACCAAGAACUCUGUGUUUCAUCAAAAGACCAAACACAUUAACAGAAGAUACCAUUUCAUCAAGGAUGCACUGAAGGAUGGUAUCAUUGAUCUGGUGUACUGUCCAACUAAUGAACAACUUGCUGAUAUCUUCACAAAACCUCUGCCUAAAGAUCGGUUUAAUUAUCUCAGGAACAUGCUAGGAGUGAAAUCAGCUCAAGACUUAAAGGGGAGUGUUGAAUUAUAAGUCUCUAGCUGAUUAAGUAUUAGAAAUAAGAUGAGUUUUAAUGUGUGUAUUCAUUUGAGCAUAUAUGCCAAGUGUAAGGUUAAAUGAUGUAAGGCCAUGAGUGCCAUGUGGUGUUUGAUCCAUGUAAUUAGGUUGAUGAGUGACUAAGAUUAAAAGUAGUGUUUAGUGUGGUCCUAAAGCUAAGGCCAUCAGUUAAAUGUAAAGCAGUGUGAGUGCUCAUUUCUCUGUGUAGUACAAAAUAUUCCUCUGCAAUAUUUUUGCAGUAGAGAACAAGAAAGAAAAAAAAAAACUAUUUUUCGGUUCAUCUUCCAUCUUUGCUUUUGCUUCUGUUCAGUAUUCUAAAAACAAAUCCAGCUAAAUUAGAGUAACACUAACAACAUGGGCAGGCAACACACACUUCUCGUUCAGUCAAUCCCAAACCUAUGAGAACGCGGAUCUGACAAUAAGUUUUGCUAGUGGUGAUCAUGGAGAUGGGAACCCAUUUGACGGCCGAGGCGGGACCCUUGCUCAUGCAUUUGCACCGACCAAUGGGAGAUUCCACUACGAUGCCGAUGAGCCGUGGGCUGUGGGAGCUGUGGAGGGUGCUUAUGACUUGGAGACUGUGGCAUUGCAUGAAAUCGGACAUCUGUUGGGGCUACGACAUAGCUCUGUUGAAGGAGCUGUGAUGUCCUCCACCGUUCGUACUGGAUUUGCUCAAAGUUUGCAUGCAGAUGAUAUUCAAGGAAUUAAAGCUUUAUAUAGUACUUGAUCUUCACAUGCAUAUUCACAUAAUCAAGAGUACUCAAAGAUUAAUCAUUAAAUUAAGUAGUAUUUAUUAUUGAAGUUCACCCUUUUUUUCAUCCCUUAAUCAAAUAAGGUACCUCAACUUGAGUGUAUUGAAAUUCUGCAAUAAUUAAUUAAAGUUGUAGCAGCAUACAUAUGCUGAAAAUAUGAUUUUUUUUUGGAGCUUUUGAAGCUUAUAGAAAUAUGGAUGUCUGGCCUUCUAUAUGUUGAACGUGUGUUAACUCUGAUGUUUUAGGAACAUGCACAUAUAAUGCAACUUUCAAUUUGUUUUGUAUUUACAGUCAAUUUGUUUUGUGUAAUUGUGUUUCUGCUAAAAUAUUUGAAAAUUUUAUGUAUUAUAUUCUUCUUUGUAUUGAGGCCAAUCCGCCAAUAUGUGUACAGAUUAAUUAUAAGGGAAGAAAACUACAAGAUUGUAAGAAAACCUUAUUACAAAUAGAUGAUAGAAUAGUAUUUUUGCUCUCCUCCUUCCUCUCCUUCCCAGUUGGAGUCUUCCAUCAAAACUUACCAGCUUAACUACAGCCUCAAUUCUACCGUAAAACUAGACGCGGAAACUGUACGGAAUAUGAUGAAGUCUUGAUACGGUGUUCCGGAUAUUGUCAACGGCACCACCUCUAUGCAAUCAGGAAAUAAACCUCACCAUAACGGUGGACAUGGUUUGACUAACACGGUUGAGCAUUAUUCUUUUUUGGAGUUUUAACGAAACACUUCCGGUACUGUUUACUUUUAUCGAAAAACCACAUUUUUACCUUUUCCUGAUAUUAUUCAUUAUAUCUUUAUUUGUCAUUUUUCAUUAAAAUUAAAAUUUGUUUGAACUUUUCGUUAGUUUUCUAUUUUUCAUAAACGUGCUCAUGGAGAUGGAUACCCAUUUGAUGGCCACCGUGGAGUCUUGGCCCAUUCUUUUGCACCUACUGAUGGGAGAUUUCACUUCGACGCGGAUGAACGGUGGGCUGUGGAUGUUGUGACGGGUGCUUAUGACUUGUAGUCUGUGGCUUGGCAUGAAAUUGGGCAUCUGCUUGGGCUUGGGCAUAGUUCUCUGUUCGAGGAGCUGUAAUGCUUCCCACCAUUAGCUCUGGCUUCACACGCCGGAGACUGACUAGGGAUGAUAUUAGUGGAAUCAAAGCUCUAUACAACAUUGGAUCGAUGAUGAUCACCACGUUCACUUAUUAGUAAGUUCAUCAAAAGCCGUGAACUUAUAAUAUUCAUAAUUUUCUGUAUCAAAUAAAUUUGUCAAAAUCCAUGAACUUAUAAUGUUUCUUAAUUUCUUGUAUCAAAUAAAUAUACCUAUUGUACGAAAAAAUUUAUCUUAUAACGGGUAAAAAUUCUCCUCUGAGCAUAUAACUGACGAUAAUUAAGAUUCUCCAAUCAAAUAAACUGUACCUAAAUGUUAUAAAAUAAUAAACAAAUAAAAGUUGUACCGGUAUGUAUAUGUUGGACAAAAUUACAAAGAGCUUUAUUUACAGAUUUCAUCUUCCAAGUCCAAAUCCUUCAUACUCGUGUAACACCUAGACAAAAUUACAUAAAACACAAAGCUCAAUGCACUUAGUGAGGCCAAAAAACCAGUAGUAUUUAUCAAGUCUAGCUUCAUUCAUGUAACUCCGCCUAUGUCUUACAUGGCCGGUCCCAAGCCCGGAUAAAGGAGGAGGGGGAGGGCGUCAGGUAGUCGACAGCCGGCACUCCAUGAUCACGUCGAAUCCUUAUGAAAAUGAAUCCAGAACAAAAUCGCGCUAAAGCUAGGGCGUCACCCGUAAGUGGCGCGCUGUGUGGCCCGAGCACAGUGAUAAGUGAGCAAGGGUCGCUGUAUCUCCAUCGGCACCCGGAUGCAGUGUUAAAUGAGCAAGGGGGCCAUAGAAACUUCUUUUCGAACGACUCCACUCAAAGUUGUUUGGGAGCAUAUGCUCCUAUCAACUUUACCCGGGACACACAAAAGAAGUACUUUGAUCCUAUUAGACGGGGGAGGGUGAAGAAUCUAGGACAGAAGGGUAGAGUUCAAGAGAGCAAAAUGCGUUUAGGAACGUGGAAUAUAGGAACCUUAACGGGAAAAUCUAUGGAAGUAGUGGAAGUUAUGGUGAGGAGAAGGAUAAAUAUUAUGUGCCUACAAGAAACUAAGUGGGUGGGUAGUAAGGCAAAGGAUCUAGAAAACUCAGGGUUUAAACUUUGGUAUUCGGGCACAAAUAGAACGAGAAACGGUGUUGGCAUCAUCGUGGAUAAGACCUUGGUACAAGAUGUUGUAGAUAUCAAGAGGGUAGGAGAUAGAAUCAUGGCAAUCAAGAUUGUAAUAGGACAAGAACUUAUCAAUGUGAUUAGUGCGUACGCACCUCAAGUAGGGUUGGAUACGAGUUCGAAGGAGAAAUUUUGGGAAGAUCUUGGAGACUUGGUGCAAGGAAUUGCUCAGACGGAGAAGUUAUUUUAUAGGAGGAGAUUUAAAUGGACACGUGGGCAGGGAGACAGGCAACUAUGGAGGUUUUCAUGGUGGCCAUGGUUUUGGGGAGAGAAACGAGGAUGGGGAAGCUAUCUUGGAUUUUGCAAUGGCAUAUGAUCUCUUCUUAGCCAACACCUUCUUUAAGAAGAGAGAAGAACAUGUGAUCACCUACAAGAGUGGGUCGUCAAAAACACAAAUAGAUUUUCUUCUAAUGAGGAAAGGGGAUCGUAUAACUUGUAAGGAUUGCAAAGUUAUACCAGGAGAGAGCGUGGCUAAUCAACAUCGCUUGUUGGUGAUGGAUGUACAUAUCAAAAGAGUAAGACAAAAAGAACAAGACUUGGAAGUGCCCAAGAACUAGAUGGUGGAAUCUAAAAGAAGAAAAACAAGCCAUUUUCAAAGAGAAGGUAAUCACCCAAUGUGUGUGGGAUAGAGAGGGGGAAGCUAGCCAAAUGUGGGAUUCCAUGGCUAGUUGUAUCCGAAAAGUAGCAAAAGAGGUAUUAGGAGAGUCCAAGGGCUUUGCCCCACACCAAAAGGAAUCUUGGUGGUGGAAUGAGGAGGUACAAACAAAGGUGAAGGCUAAGAAGGAAUGUUGUAAAGCCUUAUACAAGGAGAGGACCGAUGAAAAUGGUGAAAGGUAUAGAAAAGCGAAGCAAGAGGCGAAGAAAGCUGUCAGAGAAGCUAAGUUAGCGGCUUACGACGAUAUGUAUAAACGACUAGAUACCAAAGAAGGAGAGUUGGAUAUCUAUAAACUAGCUAGAGCAAGGGAAAAGAAGACAAGGGACCUAAACCAAGUGAGGUGCAUCAAGGAUGAGGAUGGAAAGGUUCUUGCUACAGAGAACGCGGUUAAAGACAGAUGGAGAGGUUAUUUUCAUAAUCUUUUCAAUGAAGGACAUGAAAGGAGUGCUUCUUUAGGGGAGUUGAGUAACUCAGAAGAGUGUAGAAAACUACCUUUUAUCGUCGAAUCCGGAAGGAAGAAGUGGUUGUAGCUUUGAAGAAGAUGAAGCAUAGAAAAGCAAUAGGCCCAGACGAUAUACCAAUCGAAGUGUGGAAAGUUUUGGGAGAGACAGGUAUAACAUGGCUCACUGACCUUUUCAAUAGGAUUUUGAAAACGAAGAAGAUGCCAAAUGAGUGGCGAACGAGCACUUUGGUGCCUAUCUACAAGAAUAAGGGCGACGUACAAAAUUGCAUGAACUAUAGGGGUAUUAAGCUAAUGAGUCAUACAAUGAAGCUCUGGGAGAGAGUCAUUGAGCAUAGAUUGAGGCAAGAGACACGGGUUUUCGGACAACCAAUUCGGGUUCAUGCCAGGGCGCUCAACCAUGGAGGCAAUCUAUCUCUUACGAAGAUUGAUGGAAAGAUAUAGAGAUGGGAAAAAGGAUUUACACAUGGUCUUUAUAGAUUUGGAAAAAGCGUAUGAUAGGGUCCCAAGAGACAUUCUUUGGAGGAUUUUAGAGAAGAAAGGAGUACGAGUAGCAUAUAUCCAAGCUAUAAAGGAUAUGUAUGAAGGAGCAAAGACUGCCGUAAGAACUCAUGAAGGACAAACCGAAAGCUUUCCCAUAACUGUAGGAUUACAUCAAGGCUCAUCCUUAAGUCCUUACCUUUUUGCGUUGGUAAUGGAUGAGUUAACAGGACAUAUUCAAGAUGAUAUUCCUUGGUGUAUGCUUUUCGCAGACGAUAUAGUGUUGAUAGAUGAAACUCAGGAAGGGGUAAAUGCAAAGCUUAACCUUUGGAGAGAAGCGUUGGAAUCUAAAGGUCUUCGCCUAAGCCGAUCAAAGACAGAAUAUAUGGAGUGCAAGUUCAGUGCAAAUGGAGGCCAAAACGAGUUAGGGGUGAGGAUCGGAGAUCAAGAAAUACCAAAGAGCGACCGUUUUCGUUACCUAGGAUCUAUCUUGCAAAAGAACGGAGAAUUAGAUGGAGAUCUCAACCAUAGAAUACAAGCUGGAUGGAUGAAGUGGAAGAGUGCAUCCGGCGUGUUGUGUGACCGCCGUAUGCCACUGAAGCUCAAGGGAAAAUUUUAUAGGACGGCAAUAAGGCCGGCGAUGCUGUAUGGCACAGAAUGUUGGGCGGUGAAACAUCAACACGUACACAAAAUGGGUGUAGCGGAGAUGAGGAUGCUUCGUUGGAUGUGUGGGCACACGAGAAAGGAUAAGAUUAGGAAUGAGGAUAUCCGGGGUAAAGUAGGAGUAGCCGAAAUUGAAGGAAAGAUGAGAGAAAAUCGGUUACGGUGGUUUGGACAUGUGCAAAGAAGGCCUACUGACGCUCCGAUUAGAAGAUGCGACUAUGGGACAGAGGUUCAGGGCCGAAGGGGUAGAGGAAGACCUAGGAAAACUUUGGAAGAGACUUUAAGAAAAGACUUAGAGUACUUGGAUCUAACGAAAGGACAUGACACAGGAUCGAGCACAAUGGCGUUCUAAGAUUCAUAUAGCCGAUCCCACUCAGUGACUUGGAUUUUCCAAGUCUCCAACCAAGAAGUUUUCCUCACUCGGGAAAUUAAGGGAACACUACCCCAACCUACAUGCUCCACUCAGAAAGCUUCAACAUACAAGCUUCAACAAAAGAAAAAUUCAAAGAACUUAGCGAAGAAGGCUUUGGUGUAUUUAACACAAUACGUUGAAAUGAAGGAAAGCUUAUUUAUUGAUAUCCCCGAUAAGCUACAAAUAUGUACAUAUACAUGAGUCAAAAUAAACACACAAGAGGGAGCCUUCACAAAGGUUGCUUAGGAGAAGUCUCAGCAGUCGGUAGAGCCCCAGAAAGAGAAGGCACCGGAGGGGGAUCAUUUGGAGCCUCAGUACUGGACAGAACCCUAGGAGGAGGAGGCAUCAGAGGUUGAUCAUUUGGAGCUUCAUUACGCGGUACAGUUCCAGAAGACGAAGGCAAUAAAUGCCUUUGGAACAAACCCACAAAUCUCUGAUGAUCAAGUAAAACCUGACCAUCAGUUUCCUUCAUCUGGUCAAGCUUCCUCUUCAUGUUUGUAGCAUAGUCAUGUGCGAGCCGGUGCAACUGUUUAUUCUCAUGCUUGAGCCCUCUAAUCUCCUGUUUGAGACUCAUCACUUCAGCCGCCAAUGAUUCAACUUGGCGGGUUCGAGCAAAUAGGCGUUGGGCCAUAUUAGACACAGAACCUGCACACUGAACACUGAGAGCCAGCGAAUCCUUAACAGCUAACUCAUCAGACCGUUUGGAAAGUAGUCUGUUAUCUUUGGGAGUGAGAAGGUUCCUGGCCACCACCGCAGCGGUCAUAUAUCAUUCUUCAUCACGGAAUCCCCAACGGUAAGAGGACCAGUUUGGGAGACGAAGGAUGGGCGCCAUAUGUUGUCUGGAGAAGGCGGGGCUGCCUCUUCAACAAGGUUCAAGUCAAAACGACGGUCGGAGGGGCCAGACAUUUUCAAAGGUGUUGAAGAGAGAAGAGGUCGGACAAAUCAAGAUAUUAGAAGUGCAAGAAUGAAGCUUCUACUGGUGGAGAUUCAAGUGUGCUUUGGAACUUAAUGCCAGCCUCUAUAAAAAUCUGCACUCGACGGAGCUUCAGAAAUCAAAGAGGCGCCUGCUCAGAAAUCGAAGAGGCGUUUGCUUUCUCAAAAGUUGGGCUGCUUAGAGAUCACGAGGGUUGAUCUCAGAAAUCGAAGAGCCGUUUGCUUUCUCAAAAGUUGGGCUGCUCAAAGACCACGAAGGCCGAUCUCAGAAAUCGAAGAGGCGCUCGCUUUCUCAAAAGCUGGGCUCCCUAGAGACCACGAGGGCCGAUCUCAGAAAUCGAAGAGGCACCUACUUUUCCAGCCUUGUCAGCACCUGUCACACGCACACUCAGCUUUGCGGAAAUUAUGGGCAUUCUGUCAAAGACUUCUGGGGAAGUAGAAAAACACAUGAAUCUUACUGUGUUCAAUCACCCCACUUCCCACACACGCAACAAUAGCUCAUGGGUACCACAGAUAACUUUUGCCAAAGUUCUCUGCCAAAGUUGAGCACGUGAAGCUUGCAGCUCCCACUACAUCGCUCUGACCAAGAAGGGUAAAAGAGAAUAGCAAAGAAACAGCACUAACAAAGUUUAGACCCAUAAAUUUUGAAGGUCUAGCUACCAUAUUAUUACCCACAAGGGUAAAGGAACAGUACCACUGCUGGAUAAUUGGAAAGUCCAUGUAUUGUCAACCUCUGUGUGCUUCGUGGCAAGGUAGACUAGCAAAUGACAUGCCCAACCACUUUACUCACAUUCGAGAAAAACACUCCCAAUAAGAUUGCUUGCUCCAAAAUCGAAGAGGCACCGUCCUCCGAAUCUAAAGAGCCAGACUCCUAACAUGACUACUUUCUUAAAAAUCGAAGAGCGGGUAAAGGAACAGUACCAUUGCUGGAUAAUUGGAAAGUCCCUGUGUGUGUCAACCUCUGUGCUUCGUGGCAAGGUAGACUAGCAAACAUGCCCAACCUUUACUCACUCACAUUCGAGAAAACACUCCCAACAAGAUUGCUUGCUCCAAAAUCGAAGAGGCACCACCCUCCGAAUCUCAAGAGCCACUCUCCCAACAUGAUUACUUUCUCAAAAAUCGAAAGAGACACUGCUCCCCGAAUCUCGAGAGCCAGACCCCCAGCAUGAUUGCUUUCUCAAAAAUCGGUGAGGUGAGGCACCGUUCUCUCGAAUCAAUCGAAGAGGCGCUCGCUUUCUCAAAAGCUGGGCUCUGCUCAGAGACCACGAGGGCCGAUCUCAGAAAUCGAAGAGGCACCUACUUUUCUAGCCUUGUCAGCACCUGUCACACGCACACUCAGCUUUGCAGAAAUUAUGGGCAUUUUGUCGAAGACUUCUGGUGAAGUAGAAAGCACAUGAAUCUUACUGUUCAAUCACCCACCUUCCCACACGCAACAAUAACUCAUGGGUACCACAGAUCACUUUGCCAAAGUUCUCUGCCAAAGUUGAGCACGUGAAGCUUGCAGCUCCCACUACAUCGCUCUGACCAAGAAAGGUAAAAGAAUAGCAAAGAAACAGCACUAACAAAGUUUAGACACAUAAAUUUUGAAGGUCUAGCUACCAUAUUAUUACCCACAAGGGUAAAAGGUACCACUGCUGGAUAAUUGGAAAGUCCCUGUGUGUCAACCUCUGUGCUUCGUGGCAAGGUAGACUAGCAAACAUGCCCAACCUUUACUCACAUUCGAGAAAACAGUCCCAACAAGAUUGCUUGCUCCAAAAUCGAAGAGGCACCGUCUUCCGAAUCUCGAGAGCCAGACUCCCAACAUGACUACUUUCUCAAAAUCGAAGAGAGGGUAAAGGAACAGUACCAUUGCUGGAUAAUUGGAAAGUCCCUGUGUGUCAACCUUUGUGCUUCGUGGCAAGGUAGACUAGCAAACAUGUCCAACCUUUACUCACAUUCGAGACAACACUCCCAACAGAUUGCUUGCUCCAAAAUCGAAGAGGCACCGCCUUCCGAAUCUCGAGAGCCAGACUCCCAACAUGAUUACUUCCUCAAAAAUCGAAGAGACACUGCUCUCCGAAUCUCGAGAGUCAGACCCCCAGCAUGAUUGCUUUCUCAAAAAUCGAAGAGGCAUCGUUCUCCGAAUCUCGAGAGCCAGAUACCACAGACCACUUUUUCAAAGUGCUCUGACAGAGUUAAAACAUGUGAAACUGGCAGCUCCCACUACCGUGUGCUAUGACCAAGCAGGGUAAAGGAAUAGCAUUACUACUUGUUGUUAGGGAGACUCCUAUAUAUGUCGACCUCCAUCCCCAACGGACAGGCAGACCUGCAAAAAAUGCUCAACCCUUCAUCAUAUCUGAGAGGGCACUCCCAACAAAGCCUUUCGAAAUAUUCAGCUUUCUUUCCCCCCGAUAAUACCUCUGCAAACAAGCUAUACUAGAGCAAGAAUAUCUCAUAUCAUCAGGGUUAAAAGCAAGAGUAUCUCAUAUCAUGCUUUUUCCCUGUUUUUUCUUUUGGCCUUGUUUUACCUGCAAGACAAGGAGAAAGAGAGCAAUCAGUCAGUACUUGGAAUCAAGCUUCCAGCCAGGAAUUGACUGCCUGGAACCCCUUACCUGAUUACUUACCUGGCAUUGCUCUCGAGUACUCAUCUUCAUCAUCUUAUGUUUCCAGGGAAGAUUCCGCAUAUGCUUGAGGAACAGAUAGGGCAAGUGCGAAGGAUACAAGGAAGCAUGUGGAGACAAGCGUAACAGCACACGUGCCGAUACAUCCAUUACUUUGUCAAAAGCAAAAGUAUCCCAUAUCAGCAGGGUGGAACGUACUCUAGAUUUGAUGGACUUGUUUUGACCCUCAAAUUCUCCAGUCGGCCUUAUACUCUGGAGGAAACCAGAAAACCCUCCCAGCCAGCUCAGUUCAAGAAUAAGCCUGUGGAAAAGUUACUUCUUCAAAAGCAAAAAAGUAUCUCAUAUCAUCUCUUCUCAUUUUUCUUCUCUUUAUCCUUCAUUGCUGCUGCUGCAAGAUGGGAGAAGAGAAGGUGAACAAUCAGUCGGAGCUCUGAUUGCUUACCUUGUCUGUCACCUCUUUCAGCAGACCCCCUAGCUCGGCGACUUGGGGGACUCCUACUACAUGGUUUGUAUCGCGCUUGACCAAGCCUGAAACUACAAGUAAGCUUCAAGUGAAAUUGAUACAUUACCUUGUGCAUCUUCCACCAGUUAAAGAUACCACCCCUGGAUGGAGGAAGAGUACUUCCAGAGAAGAUGCCACAUCUACCUAUGAGACAGAUAAGGCAAGUCAAGACGACACCACACUCCGAUACUUAGAAGUUUCGUGAUUACGAGAUCAUUAUCCCACAAUAUUUCCUAAUGUCAUUUGUACUAAAUCAUUCACUCGUACUCACUAAAGGAGAGCUUGAACCUAUGUACUUGUGUAAACCCUUCACAAUUAAUGAGAACUCUUCUAUUCCGUGGGCGUAGCCAAUCUGGGUGAACCACGUACAUCUUGUGUUUGCUUUCCUAUCUCUAUCCAUUUAUAUACUUAUCCACACUAAUGACCGGAGCAAUCUAGCGAAGAUCACAAAAAGCGACCGUUUUCGUUACCUAGGAUCUAUCUUGCAAGAGAACGGAGAAUUAGAUGGAGAUCUCAACCAUAGAAUACGAGCUGGAUGGAAAGAGUGCAUCCGGCGUGUUGUGUGACCGUCGUAGGCCACUGAAGCUCAAGGGAAAAUUUUAUAGGACGGCAAUAAGGCCAGCGAUGUUGUAUGGCAGAGAAUGUUGGGUGGUGAAGCAUCAACACGUACACAAAAUGGGUGUAGCGGAGAUGAGGAUGCUUCGUGGGAUGUGUGGGCACACGAGAAAGGAUAAGAUUGGGAAUGAGGAUAUCCGAGGUAAAGUAGGAGUAGCCGAAAUUGUAGGAAAGAUGAGAGAAAAUCGGCUCUGGUGAUUUGGACAUGUGCAAAGAAGGCCGACUGACGCUCCGGUUCGAAGAUGUGACUACGGGACAGAGGUUCAGGGCCGAAGGGGUAGAGGAAGACUUAGGAAACUUUGGAAGAGACUCUAAGAAAAGACUUAGAGUACUUGGAUCUAACGGAGGGCAUGACACAAAACCGAGCGCAAUGGCGUUCUAGGAUUCAUAUAGCCGACCCCACUUAGUGGGAAAAGGCUUUGUUGUUGUUGUUGUUGUUGUAGCUUCAUUCAUGUCAUCGGAGAACCAGCUCUGCCUUCCUCCUGAACUUGUAACUGCUUCAACUGUUGCAAUCAAAAGGGUACUCAGGUAACUUCCCACCCCAAAAACACUAGUGUACAAUGCAAAGGCCAUUGUUCUCAUUCUUCUGGGGACUUCAGAGUAAAAGAACUCUUGUAUUCCAACAACGGUGAAAAUGUCUGAAAUGCCUAAAAGAAUGUACUGUGGAAGUAGCCAAAAGAUGCUAAACGGUACAGUUUCGGAUUGAGAUCCCAGCAUUUCCAUUUCUCUGCUGAUCUUGAGCCUUUUUGCUUCCACAACCGCUGCAAUGACCAUUGCUAUGACCGAAACGAACAUUCCGAUCCCCAUCCGUUGCAUCACGCUAAUACCCUUUUCAUUAGACGUAACCAGACGCGUAAUCGGGAUCAUUAUUUUGUCAUAUAGAGGCAUCAGGAGGAUUAUGGAAAGUGUGAUAGCGCUUUGAAGAGUUGCUGGUGGAACCUUGAAGUUGCUUCCAAUGUUCCUCUUCAUCGUCAUGCCUUGUUUGGUGAAAAAUGUUGGAGGCUGUUGGAAAAUCACUGCAAACAUCAAAAGCAUAAUCCAUAUUGGCAGAAGCCUCAAAAGCACUUUUGCAUUUUCAAGCACGUAGAAGCCACUUUUGGGAUUCCCAACCAAGCUUGCUGUGCUGCUAUUAUUUUGACGGCAAAGCGGUUUCUCUUGAAGCCUAUAUAGUAUAAAACCAGCCAAAUAAUAUAUCAUUAGCAUCAGAAUUCAGUUACAUUAAUUCUAAUGAAAAUGACUUGAAAACUUUGAGUUUUAACGAUAAUAACAAAAUAAAUGGUAAAGUGAAUAGUACUGUAAUUGACUUUUUAGUAUAAAAAUGUGGUUUUUCAUUAAAGUGAACAAUACCGAAAGCUUUUCGUUAAAGUUUCCGUAAUCCUAAGAGAAAAUUUUUUAUCCACACUCCCAUUUUCUCCUUUUGGCAGUCGUCCAUUUAUUUAUGUCACUUCAUUCUCCUUUGUUUAUUCAACCCAACAGGUAAGGGAGGAGUGCAUGGGAGAAAAACGGUGUGGGAAAAUCAUUUCUUUAAUUGUAAACUUGACCGUUAAAACCACAAAAAGAAGUACCAUGUUAGAAAUUAGUUAACUUACUCUAGCUCGGUAACAUUAGUUUCAUUCGGUAAUAUGAUUCUGCAUUUCAUUAACUUUAAUGCAGUUGCCUUGAUGACUUGAACUAUGUUGAAAAUAGGCUUAUAAUCCAUGGCCUCAUCAUUCUCUCUAUAUGUAUAGAUUCGGCUUCCACACAUAAACACCACAACCGAUAUAACCAUCGAUAUCAUGGGGAUGGCGAAACCUAUAAUCCAACCGAAAGUGUCUUGAAUGUAGGACAUGAGAGUGACACCCAUGAGGCUGCCACUGCAAACACCAAAAUACCACCACUGAAAAAACAUUCUCUUUUUGCUUGAUUUUUGAUCGUCUUUGCUGCUAGGAAGUUCCUCUUCACUGUCCAGUUGGUCUGCUCCAAAUGCUUGCAGCGAUGGGUUGUAUCCACCUUGACCUAGAGAAAUCAAGUACAGAGAGCAAAACAGAAAUGAUGAAUUGGAACUUGUUUUGUUUGCAGCAGGUGUUGCCCGUUUGAAUGCCGUUGAUGUCAAUGCCACAAGCCCCUAGAAACAAAACCACGUACAUGUGAGCUUAUAGUUUCACCUUUUCUACACAUUUAGAGCAAAAAUUUAUCGUGACCAAAUUGAAAGUCGUGAGGCCAGAUUAGAAAAAGGUCAUAAACGGUAGUUGUAGUUGGGAGGUUUUAUUUAUAAAAGACCUCAGCGCAAUUAGUAGUAAACUUGCUUGUUUUUUUUUUCUAACAGUAAACCCGCUCAUUAUGACCUUAUUCUUCAACAAUAAAUUAAGAGGCAUUUCUUAAAAAUCUCCACUAUAUUCUAAUGGAAAGAAGAUUAGUGCAGAUGACUCAUACUCCAUUUUAAAUCUAUCAUCAGCAACAUCUUGAUAAAAAAAUUCCGAACAAAAAAAAAAAACAUUAUUUGUGCUGAGCUUUUAAACUUUUAGCAAAAGAGGAAUUUCUGUUCAAUAAGAUACCUAAGUAGAUGCAUCCACUUUUCACUAUAGAAAUUCCUAUUUAUCAGUGAUAUCCUAUGAUCAAGAUAAUUGGCCUAAAUUUGCUAAAACUAUUUUAUAGAUAGUCAUUGAUAUUAAGUAAGAGUCCAAAGAAGAGAGUAAGUGCAUAUGUGGGUUAGGUCAGUUGACCAGUGCAGUGUGCACACCUUGCGCUAGAAUUUGAAUCUCACUUUCAACUAGUUAGAGAUAUCCCUUUUUGUCAAAAACAAAGGAAGGGAAGGGAGAAAACAAAGUGAAUGUGUACACUUACUGCAACAUAGAGGAAAGAAGAGACCAAGAUGGUGGGAUAUCUAUCCCAGUAAGAGUCGACAAGGGGUGCAACUAAGAGUGGGAGCAUGGAUGUGAACCCACACCAACUGUUUACCGUCUUGGCCGCUGCCGAGUUGCUCAUUUUCACCACAUCGGUUAAAUAAGUCACUAGAUUUGAUGCCACUCCUUUGUAUGCAAAUCUCUCCAUCCCAGCAAUCACUAUAAUUAUAAAUAAACAGACAAAAAUUAACCCAUCUGGCCGGUAAAACUCAUAUCAUGAAGAGAGUAUGAUUAAAUUACCUAUCAGAAGAAAGCAAGAGGAGCCGAGUCUUUUUCCUCCUGAUCCAGCCAUGAUGUUCCAAAAUUAUAUCAAAGGAUGGCUGCUUGUGAUCCCUUUAACAUAUAACCUCUGCUUUGAUGUGAUGCGAAGCUACUAGAGUAUUAAGCUAUAGCCACGGAGCUCGGCUUUGGCUCUCCUAUAAAUCUGUCAUCAUUCGAAGAUUACUGUGCUGCUACUGUUGUUUUCAUAUUCCCACCAACAAGCAAUAAUGCAAACUUCAUCAUCAUUGGCAAUAUAUUUCCUUCCUUCCCAAACACUAUGUUUUGUAUAUAUAAUGAUAAGCUCUCCAACAAUGCUCGCACAAAAUUAUAAGGCAAUGGAAAGAGCUAUCAGAGUUUAAUGGAUUCCACUUUAUUUUAUUUUUUUUCAGUUUUGGGCAUGGUGUCUUCAUGGCGACGUGACCAAGAAAGCAAUGAUCUGAUGCAACAAAAUAAGCCCCAUACGUCAGUCUCUAACGUUCACUGUUUGAUAUCUACUGAUAUAUGUACCACAUAAUGGAACACGUGGAGCGUUUGACACGUAGGAUGGGGCCAGCCCUCCUGCUUUGUGUUCCAUGUGAUGCGAAUCAUGUGAUAUUAGGAAAAAAUUUAAUUGUGACGGAAAUACGGCGGGUACAUCACGUGUUUUUAUAUAAAUGGUGGAAAUGUUUAAUUUUUAAGUUAUUAACAUUUUAACAUACAUAACCCACCAUUUAUAUAGGGACACGUGAUGUACCACUUUGUUUGACGGGAACACUGAAAAAUCUCUCGUGAUAUACAUGGAAGAUUACCAAGGUUAUUCCAAUUAAGUUUCAACUAGUAAUUAUAUAAACCAUAUAGACUUGAUGGAUGAUAAAUAAAUGGGAUACUUUCAUGCAAUUAAACCCUAAAAGUAGCUUACUUAACCAUUAAUGUUUUCUUGCCAACCAUACAUCAAAGGCAUGUUAGAAUAGGUUCCUUAAUUUUUAGAAUUUUCUCUGUGAUUAUUGUUUUUUAAGGUAAUAAGUAUUUUAUUAAACAAAUAAAACGAAAAACAUCGACAUCAAAAUACAAUUUUAUAAGACUUUUUUUAUUAGCACACCAUAUACUGUUGAAUACAUAUUAAAUGACUUAUACACCUUACUAUGCAAUGCCAAUUUCGACCUUAUUAGGUUAGAAUAAAAAAUAAAAAAAUUGAAUAAACCCAAAUCGCUUUUAACGUAUUAUUUAUCUACUUUUUUUGUCUUCCCAACAAAUGCAAGCAAAAUGAUAAAACUGCCGGAUUAGAACUUGAAUGGGUGUGAAGAAAUUAACGAUAUUGCUUUAUAUAUGUCGUCUCACAGCAUAACCCCAAUUAAAAGAAAUGAUAAUAGUAAUAAAAUGGCUAAACACAAUCUCUGUUCUGCACUCAACACCAAUAAAUAAAUAUGUUUUCUUUUCAUACAUAUGAAAAUGCAAUGAAACUACAUCAACAUUCAACUACGUUUUUGCCAAUCUGGGCAAAGUCCUAGCAAUAUUCACAUUACAAGAGACCUUCUGAUUGUUCUCCUUUCCCUUGUUGCUUUUACCCUCGAAUUUUUGUCAUUAAACCUCAGCGUAUUACCUCGUUUGCCACCUUCAACAGAGUCACAGCAUCCUCAUCUUCCUCCAAUCUUGAUUGUGACUGAGUAUUAUAAGAUGUGAAGAAUGUGGGGUGUAUAGAAAAUAUAAGGUGUAUGUUGAGAAUAGGGGUGGGAGGGUAAUAUGGGAAAGUAAAUAGGAUGUAUUAAGAUAAAUUUUAAUUGAAAAAGUAAAUAUGGGGUGUAUUAAGUAUGUAGGAUUUAUUCAACAAUAUGUGAAGUGUAAAUAUAAUAAACCUUUUAUAAUUAUAAACUCAACAGAAAGACAAUAAAAAAGUCACUUUUAAGUUAAUUUUAUUUACUUUACAUUUCUCAUCCGAGGAAUGAAAAGUAAAUAAAACCAAUUUAGAAAACAAUACUCGUAUAUUCAAAAUGAUAACAUAAACAUCUUAUAAAUUGUCAAAUUAUUUUGCAUAUCAUAUUUAUUUUGCAUCAAAACUAAUGAUUUGAUGUAAACAUUUCACAAACAAUAACAUGCAUGUGCCACACUUAUGCACGUAAUUUCCAUAUAAUUAAGAUUCAAUACUAAAAGAUGAAUGAAGAUCCUCUUCGAAUCCUCUUUGUGAGAAUGCCGGAAAUCCUUUAAUCGUAUUCGUUUAUCGUACAUCAUGCGAUCAAAAAUCAUUGUAAAUUUUUCAUUUCAAAUUGAAUAUUAAUAGCAUUUGACAAAAAUUAGUCGUACGAUAUGCAAUAAACAGACAUGAUUAAAAGAUCUUCGAGAUCUUCAAUAAUACUACUAGCUACUACUACCACAAGAUAAUAUUCCAUGAUGAUCAGAAAGCAGCCUCUUUAUCCUACGCAUAAAACACUUUUGACUGAGUGUCCAAUCUCCAUUAAUAAUGACAUGCAACUUUCACCAUUUUUAAUAUUAAGGUUUCCAUUUUUCAUUUUCAUGUUUUUCACUCGCCAAACCGGUCGGUUCUCUCCUUUCAGUCUGUUACAAUUUGUUCAUCUUUUUGUGUCGAUAAAUCCGCACAAUUAGGGCAACAGAAGCAAUCAAGUUUUGAGUUCGUUUGAUGUUUGGAUGCGUUACGUUUGAGAAUUGAACUAAGAGAGAGAUUCAUCAGCAUGCGUUACUUGUGAAGGCAAAGCAUGCAGAUGAUGUGAAGUUGUGAAUGACAAUGAAUGAUGUAUUGGAUUACUUAUGUUGUAAGCCAUUUGUUUAUGAGUUGUUAACGACAAAAGUAAUCUGAUAGUCCUAGUGAAUAGGGGUGGGCACUUAAAACCGAAACACGAACCAAAUCGAACCGCACCGAACGGUUUGGUUUUGUGGUUUUGGAACGGUUUUGAUUUUGAAACCGAACCGCAACAUAGAAAACGGUUUGAUUUCGGUUUUGGCUUUUGAAAACCGCACCGAAACUGAAUCACAUCGCAAAUAUUAAUAAACAUUUAAUUAAAUGUCCAUAUUAAAUUUCAUGUUUUAAUUUGUUGUUUGUUAGAAUCCAUGCACUUAGUAUGGACACAACCACACUAGAAUAUCAUCAUUCAUCACUUUCUUUCGUUCAUUAACUUGAAGGACCUUUGUUAUUUUAUACCAUCACACACACACACACAUAUAUGUACAAGGGUGGACUAAUCUUGUUAUCAAGAGUCGAACAAUGAUCUAAUGAAGUGCACUCAUUUGAAGCAUGAUAUCACAUAUUCUAGUAUGAAAGUUUCGCUCAUGUUUAAUGAAUUCAAAGUUAUUCAACUUGUUUUAUGUUAUACCUUGUACGAGACACCUUUUAGUUGCACAAACAUAUUUUAACAUAACAACUGCAUGCAACAUGCUAAUUGUUUAUAUAACAAAUGUCUUUUUCUUAUUACUACUGGGAAAUGCUUAUUAAUAUGUUAAAUUGCAAAUUGUACAUUUUUUCUUAAAAACCAAACCUAAACCGUUUGAAACAGCACCGAACCGAACCAAACGGUUUGGUUUCAUUUCGGUUUUGGCUUCAAAACCGCACAGAAUCAAACCGCAAAAAAAUUUGGUUUCGGUUUUGGUUUCACUACAAAUAUAUAGAAUCAUGGUAGGACUCAAUCACUUAAGUAAUAAAAUGGCUAAACACAAUCUCUGUUCUGCAAUUCAACACCAAUAAAUAAAUAUGUUUUCUUUUAAUACAUCUAAAAAUGCAAUGAAACUACAUCAACAUUCAGCUACGUUUUUGCCAAUCUGGGCAAAGUCCUAUUACCAUUCACAUUACAAGAGACCUUCUGAUUGUUCUCCUUCCCUUGCUGCUUUUACCCUCGAUUUUUUGUCAUUAAACCUCAGCGUAUUACCUCGUUUGCCACCUUCAACAGAGUCACAGCAACCUCAUCUUCAUCCAAUCUUGAUUGUGACAGAGUAUUAUAAAAUGUGAAGAAUGUGAGGCGUAUAUAGAAAUGUAAGGUGUAUGUUGAGAAUGGGGUGGGAGGGUAAUAUGGGGAAGUAAAUGGAGUGUAUUAAGAUAAAUUUUAAUCGAAAAAGUAAAUGUGGAGUGUAUUAAGUAUGUAGGGUUUAUUUAACAAUACGUGAAGUGUAAAUAUAAUAAACCUUUUAUAAUUAUAAACAAGGUUCUAAAAAACGCUAGGCGCUAGUCGAGCGGCGGGCUAGCGCCUAGCGCCUAGGCGGCCUAGGCGGAUUUAGGUAAAUUUCUUGUAUAUCUUGUAAAUAAGUACAUAUUGACACCUAAAAAAAAAUUAUACUUGUAUGGAUAAUAAAAUAAUGGUCAAAUGCAAAUUAGGUACACAAUUUCCAUAAGUAUUGGAUGAACUUGUAGUAAAUCCAUCAUUUGCAAAUUAGAUACACCAUUUCCAUAAGUAUACCACCAUGAAACAAAAAAAAAGAAAAAAGCACGCAAUUAAUAAAAAAUAAAUAAUAAAAAAACCUCCUAGGAUCGCCUAGGGCCGCCUAGGACCGCCUAGCCCACCUAGUUGCCCAGCACGCCUAGGCCCAACCCGAUUUUUCCGCCCGAUUUGCCCAAAAACGCCUCGGUUGCUAGGCACCCAACGCCUAGGCGGCCGCCUAGGGCGUUUUUUAGGACAAAGAUUAUAAACACAAAAGAAAGACAAUAAAAAAAAAGUCACUUUUAAGUUAAUUUAAUUUACUUUACAUUUCUCAUACAAGGAAUGAAAAGUAAAUAAAACUAACUUAGGAAACAAUACUCGUAUAUUCAAAAUGAUAACAUAAACAUCUUAUAUAUUGUCAAAUUAUUUCGCAUAUCAUAUUUAUUUUGCAUCAAAACUAAUGAUUUGAUGUAAACUUUUCUCAAACAAUAACAUGCAUGUGCCACACUUGUGCACGUAAUUUCCAUAUAAUUAAGAUUCAAUACUAAAAGAUGAAUGAGGAUCCUCUCUAGAUCUUCUUUAUGAGAAUCUUGGAAAUCUUUUAAUCAUAUUCGUUUAUCGUACAUUAUGCGGUCAGAAAUUAUUGUAAUUUUUUUAUUUCAAAUUGAAUAUUAAUAGCACCUGACAAAAACUGAUCAUACGAUAUAUGAUAAACAGACAUGAUUGAAAGAUCUCCGACAUCCUCACAAUGAGGAUUUGGAGAUGAUCCUCAAUAAUACUACUACUACAAGAUAAUAUUCCAUGAUGAUCAGAAAGCAGCCUCUUUAUCCUACGCAAAAAACACUUUUGACUGAGUGUCCAAUCUCCAUUAAUAAUGAUAUGCAACUUUCACCAUUUUUAAUAUUAAGGUUUCCAUUUUUCGUUUUCAUGUUUUGUACUCGCCAAACCGGUCGGUUCUCUCCUUUCAGUCUGUUACAAUUUGUUCAUAUUUUUGUGUCGAAAAAUCCACACAAUUAGGGCAACAGAAGCAAUCAAGUUUUGAGUGCAUUUGAUGUUGGGAUGCUUUACGUUUGAGAAUUGAACUAAGAGAGAGAUUCAUCAGCAUGCGUUACUUGUGAAGUGCAAAGCAUGCAGAUGAUGUAAAGUUAUGAAUGACAAUGAAUGAUGUAUUGGAUUACCUGUGUAGUAAGCCACUUUGUGUAGUAAGCCACUUGUUUAUCGAGUUGUUAACGACAUAAGUAAUCUGAUAGUCCUAGUGAAAUACGGAUUAUGGAAUCUUAACCCUUGCAAUUGACCUCAAAGAAAUCUAAUAGGUUUCACUACAAAGAUAUAGAAUCAUGGUAGGACUCAAUCACUUAUGUGAUAGGUUUUGAUUUUCACAACCAAUAAUAGGCCGGCUGUGAUUAAGCCUUAAUGAUAUAAGUACUAUGGUUAAGUCCCUUCUUUCAUACGCUUAAUCUCUUAGAUACGCUAUACGCU